GACGAACGCUGGCGGCGUGCUUAACACAUGCAAGUCGAACGGAAAGGCCUGCUUUCCCUUGUGGAUUGCGGGUACUCGAGUGGCGAACGGGUGAGUAACACGUGAGUGAUCUGCCCCCAACUUGGGUAUAAGCCUGGGAAACUGGGUCUAAUUCCCGAUAGGACUGCAGGGUGGUGCCUGUGGUGGAAAACGAUUUUCUAGUGGUUGGGGAUGAGCUCGCGGCCUAUCAGCUUGUUGGUGGGGUAAUGGCCUACCAAGGCGGCGACGGGUAGCCGGCCUGAGGGGGUGGACGGGCACAUUGGGACUGAGAGACGGCCCAGACUCAUACGGGAGGCAGCAGUGGGGAAUAUUGCACAAUGGGCGGAAGCCUGAUGCAGCGACGCAGCGUGGGGGAUGACGGCCUUCGGGUUGUAAACUCCUUUCGACCGCGAGGAAGCCACCUGGUUGGAAGGGUGGUGACGGUAGUGGUAGAAGAAGCACCGGCUAACUACGUG
rnacentral:rRNA from 1 species